UUUUGUCGGCAUAAUCACGCCCCUGCGCAGAAGGGUUGCCAACCUAAAUUCCGAGUGACUUUACUUUGUGUGAGCGAGUUGCCAAAUCUCGGGUAUCGCAUUUUCUGCUGACUAAUGCCCAAGAACAGAUUUCAAGACAGAGUCCAAAUCAUUCCAUCUGUGACUAUCAUAGAUAAUUGUAGUGCGCGACGUGUAUUCCAAUAAGUAAAUUGCAAUGGUGAAAAUCAAGUGGUGUAUAUGACUUAUUUGUGUGUUUAUUCUUUUAGAUUCUUAAAAACUAGUUAAAAAUGUCAAAACCUAAAAACUAGUUGAAAAAGUCAAACUUAAAAGCUAGUAGUACGGUAAAUUGUUAAAUAGUACGCUAUUGUUCUAUUUCUAUCAAAAGAAUAAGGUUCAGCCGCUAUUGUGAAAUAGCAAGUGUUAAGAAAAGGUCCACUUCUGGGCCUUUUCUUUUUGACCUUCGGGGUCCCAAAACCGGAGGACAUUGUUCGUUUUCCCACAGAAAUACCACCGAUGCACUGGACACGCCAAGAUACGCUGUCAUCCCGAAAUCUCUGGCUUCCCUACGGUGA